UACGAAGGGGGGCUAGCGUUGCUCGGAAUUACUGGGCGUAAAGGGCGCGUAGGCGGAUGUUUAAGUUGGGGGUGAAAGCCCGGGGCUCAACCUCGGAAUUGCCUUCAAUACUGGACAUCUUGAGUACGGGAGAGGUGAGUGGAACUCCGAGUGUAGAGGUGAAAUUCGUAGAUAUUCGGAAGAACACCAGUGGCGAAGGCGACUCACUGGCCCGUUACUGACGCUGAGGCGCGAAAGCGUGGGGAGCAAACAGG
rnacentral:rRNA from 1 species